GGACUACACGGGUAUCUAAUCCUGUUUGAUCCCCACGCUUUCGUGCCUCAGCGUCAAUAUUUGUGUAGCCAGCUGCCUUCGCAAUUGGUGUUCUAUGUCAUAUCUAUGCAUUUCACCGCUACAUGACAUAUUCCGCUAACCUCCACAACAUUCAAGAUAUAUAGUAUCCAUGGCAGUUUCAGGGUUAAGCCCUGAGAUUUCACCACGGACUUACAUAUCCGCCUACGCACCCUUUAAACCCAGUGAAUCCGGAUAACGCUUGCACCCUCCGUAUUACCGCGGCUGCUGGCAC
rnacentral:rRNA from 1 species